rnacentral:lncRNA from 1 species
GUAGGUCAUCUCUGUUUCAGUUAUUGUUAAUGUACACAGAAGGGAGCACUGCUUCAGUAGUGCUUCUCCAUGUGACUGCCUGAUGGCUUCUGCAGGAAUCUACAACCAUGCAACCAGUGUGUUUGUUUAGUGACCUGGAAUGGAGGCGUCUUCAUCUGCAGUGUAAUCUGAUCACUGUUUCCUGCCCCCAAGUCUGAGUCUGCUGCCUUAAUGUUACACACUUCACAAGCCAUGUAAAUUUUACUUGGUAGAGAAGGGAUAAGGGGGCUAGAUCUGUUGAUACUUUAUCAAAGAAGGGUGGUGUCCACCCUC